UGCGGGGUAGAGCAGAUGGAGUGCUCGCGGGUCUCAUAAGCCCGAGGUCAUGGGUUCGAGUCCCAUCCCUGCUA
rnacentral:tRNA from 1 species